ensembl:snoRNA
AGCUUCAUUCUGGAUUAGAAUGGGCACUGUUGAUUAGUGUCCAGAAUUGCUCAAUGUGGCUAAAAUUGAGAUACCGGUCAUGCUUCAUUCACAGUAAACAUUUCCAGUGGUGACAACGAGGCCUGUAACAUCU